GACGAACGCUGGCGGCGUGCCUAAUACAUGCAAGUCGAACGAAGCUUUCUUUCACCGAAUGCUUGCAUUCACCGAAAGAAGCUUAGUGGCGAACGGGUGAGUAACACGUAGGCAACCUGCCCAAAAGAGGGGGAUAACACUUGGAAACAGGUGCUAAUACCGCAUAACCAUGGACAUCGCAUGAUGUUCAUGUAAAAGACGGCUUUUGCUGUCACUUUUGGAUGGGCCUGCGGCGUAUUAACUUGUUGGUGGGGUAACGGCCUACCAAGGUGAUGAUACGUAGCCGAACUGAGAGGUUGAUCGGCCACAUUGGGACUGAGACACGGCCCAAAACUCCUACGGGAGGCAGCAGUAGGGAAUCUUCCACAAUGGACGAAAGUCUGAUGGAGCAACGCCGCGUGAAUGAAGAAGGCCUUCGGGUCGGUAAAAUUACUGUUGUCAGAGAAGAACGUGCGUGAGAGUAACUAGUUCACGUAUUGACGGUAUCUGACCAGAAAG
rnacentral:rRNA from 1 species